GGUGCCGCGAGGCACUCAGCACGAAAGCAGUCCGGAGCGAAGGCACGACCGUAGGAACACGAACAGGCAGCGAGGCCGCGAUGCGGGCGAUGAGCGUGCGAGAGAACGCGAAAUCCCACUGUCACCGAAAGACGCAUCGGGUAGAGCCUGACGGCGCGGGCCGAAAGUUCAUGCA
rfam:Freshwater sediment metagenome lwFormaldehyde_BCIB31879_g1, whole genome shotgun sequence.